rnacentral:lncRNA from 1 species
CAAAUCAACGUCAGGUAUCCCUCUUGAAGCUUUACAUUUUCCAAUUGCUUCGCUGCCAUCAAAAUUAUCCACCAUGUAAUUGUUCGACUGUCCAGACUGAUGAGUGCUUCAGCUUCACCAUGACCUCAGUUCUUUAUAUGUUUGAAUUAAUAUUGAUUACAAUUAAGAAUGAAAUAGAUCUGCACCUAGAAUUUUCUACAGGUGGAAUGUGACAUUAUUUGAGAGGUUGAUUACAUUGAUUAUGGUAAAGCAUCAAUCAAUAUAUACAUUUGAGGGAGUAUAUUGUGAUGCUU